rnacentral:rRNA from 1 species
GGGCCCGCACAAGCAGCGGAGCAUGUGGUUUAAUUCGAAGCAACGCGAAGAACCUUACCUAGACUUGACAUCUCCUGAAUUACCGGUAAUGCGGGAAGCCCUUCGGGGCAGGAAGACAGGUGGUGCAUGGUUGUCGUCAGCUCGUGUCGUGAGAUGUUGGGUUAAGUCCCGCAACGAGCGCAACCCUUAUCAUUAGUUGCUACCAUUAAGUUGAGCACUCUAGUGAGACUGCCCGGGUUAACCGGGAGGAAGGUGGGGAUGACGUCAAAUCAUCAUGCCCCUUAUGUCUAGGGCUACACACGUGCUACAAUGGGCAGUACAAUGAGAUGCAAACCCGUGAGGGGGAGCAAAACUAUAAAACUGUUCCCAGUUCGGAUUGUAGGCUGAAACUCGCCUACAUGAAGCCGGAGUUGCUAGUAAUCGCGAAUCAGCAUGUCGCGGUGAAUACGUUCCCGGGCCUU